CCCGCCCGCCUGCCAUCAUUUUCGCCCCGCCCAAGCUGGGAGCAGGGAGGCGGUAAGCAGCAUGCUGGGAGCGAGCGCCAGCAGGGGCAGGAAGGCGGCGCCGCCAUCAGUGAAGCUGGGGGCGGCGAAGGAGGCGCCGGCGACCGUGGCCGCAGCCGCCUCCGGCGGCAAGGUGUCGGCGGAGGAGGUGUGGGAGGUGCGGCCCGGCGGGAUGCUGGUGCAGAAGCGGGGCGGGGCGGCCGACGACGAGCCGUCUCCCGGCGUCAAGCCGGUGCGCACCAUCCGGGUCAAGGCCAAGCAUGCCGGCGUCACGCACGAGAUCUACGUCAGCUCCGAGGCCUCCUUCGGGGAGCUGAAGAAGCUGGUGGCCGCCAAGACGGGGCUGCACCCGGACGACCAGAAGGUGCUGUACAAGGACAAGGAGCGCGACUCCAAGGCGUUCCUGGACGUGGCCGGCGUCAAGGACCGCUCCAAGGUGGUGGUCGUGGAGGACCCGGAAGCCCGCGCGCGCCGCCUCAUCGAGGAGCGCCGCAACGGCCACCUCCAGAAGGCCGCCAGCGCCGUCGCCGCGGUCACCGCCGAGGUCGACAAGCUCGCCCCCAAGGUGGCGGCGCUGGACGCGUCGGUGCGCAAGGGGGAGAAGGUCGCGGAGAAGGACGUGGUGCAGGUGACAGAGCUUCUCAUGAACGAGCUGCUCAGGCUCGACGCCGUGGUCGCCGACGGCGACGUCAAGGCGCAGAGGCGGAUGCAGGUGAAGCGCGUCCAGAAGUACGUGGAGACGCUGGACGCGGUGGCGGCCAGGAACGCCGCCACCGUCCGCAAGUCCGGCGCCAAGCCAGCACCGCCGCCGCCGCAGCAGCAGCAGCAGCAAGCGAGGCAGGCGCGGUGGGAGAUGCUGGACCUGCUGUCGUCGCUGCCGUCCACGUCCUCGGCCUCGUCGACGACAACCGUGAGCUCCACGGCGUCCUCCGGCGCGCCGCCGACCAACCGCCUGGACUGGAUGCUGUUCUGACGGGCGGGCGAGUGCAGGGCAGCCCGGCGCCGGCCGGCCACCGGCGCGAAAGCAGUCAAGCCGGAUGUGGGGGAAAGCGGAAGGCGGAGUGCAGAACUGCAUUGCUCUGCAUGGUACCGUACCAGCCAACUCGAUUCAUCAACCAUGUCUUCUUCUUUCAUUCCUUUUGAGAUUCUUUCCUUUUUCCUCAUCUUCUUGUUCAUGAAACGUUUGAGGUUCUUUUUGUGUGCAUACUAUUCAGAUAGACAGAGAGAAAGAGAGAGAGGGUUGGUUACUUGGUUUAGGGCAAAUCAAAUGUAUUCAGAUUGGGAAUAAACACACUACUGGAGUCAAAAAAAAAUUGUCGUCGUCCAUCCCCAACUGCAGUCGGAGUCUCAAC
rnacentral:misc_RNA from 1 species